UGUGGAUCUUGAAGAGGAAUACGAAGAUCCAUUUGAGGGAAGCUCUUCUUUGGUGAUUUCCGAAGGCCAGGAUGCAACUUAUGAUCCAGCAGAAUCCAUAACAAAUGCUACAGAAACAACAGCCAUGUCUGGUCAAGAACAAAACCCCCCCCAGACGAUCAACACAUACAUCGUGUAUGAGACCUGCCUCAUGGAGCUUUUUGAAUCAUGUCCUGUGUGCAAGCGUGUGUGUGAUGUACAAACCAGAAGGAUCGGUACAUUCAUAUCAGUGCAGCAGCUGUGCCCCCAUUGUCAGUUUACAAGAAACUGGAAUAGCCAGCCUGUUCUUGGGAGUACUCCAGUUGGAAACCUGCAGCUAUCAGUUGCAACAUAUGUCAACGGAGCAUCUUUCUACAAACUUUCAAAGGUCUUCAAAGCAAUGAAUAUGCAGCUAUGCAAAUACAACACCUUCCGAAGGCAUGCCAGGAUGUUCAUUGAGCC